GACGAACGCUGGCGGCGUGCCUAAUACAUGCAAGUAGAACGCUGAAGGAGGAGCUUGCUUCUCUGGAUGAGUUGCGAACGGGUGAGUAACGCGUAGGUAACCUGCCUGGUAGCGGGGGAUAACUAUUGGAAACGAUAGCUAAUACCGCAUAAGAGUAGAUGUCGCAUGACAUUUGCUUAAAAGGUGCAAUUGCAUCACUACCAGAUGGACCUGCGUUGUAUUAGCUAGUUGGUGAGGUAACGGCUCACCAAGGCAACGAUACAUAGCCGACCUGAGAGGGUGAUCGGCCACACUGGGACGGAGACACGGCCCAGACUCCUACGGGAGGCAGCAGUAGGGAAUCUUCGGCAAUGGACGGAAGUCUGACCGAGCAACGCCGCGUGAGUGAAGAAGGUUUUCGGAUCGUAAAGCUCUGUUGUAAGAGAAGAACGAGUGUGAGAGUGGAAAGUUCACACUGUGACGGUAGCUUACCAGAAAGAGACGGCUAACUACGUG
rnacentral:rRNA from 1 species